rfam:Glycine soja cultivar W05 scaffold1138_52, whole genome shotgun sequence.
UUCUGAUUAGAUAAUGACUGUCACGUGUCAUUUUUUGAUUGGAUGACGACUUUAUGGACGAUGAAAUGCAUUAUUGUUGUCAUUGGUCAAUCAGAACAUGACACAUGACUGUCAUCGCCC